rnacentral:rRNA from 1 species
GACGAACGCUGGCGGCGUGCUUAACACAUGCAAGUCGAACGGAAAGGCCCUGCUUUUGUGGGGUGCUCGAGUGGCGAACGGGUGAGUAACACGUGAGUAACCUGCCCUUGACUUUGGGAUAACUUCAGGAAACUGGGGCUAAUACCGGAUAGGAGCUCCUGCUGCAUGGUGGGGGUUGGAAAGUUUCGGCGGUUGGGGAUGGACUCGCGGCUUAUCAGCUUGUUGGUGGGGCAGUGGCUUACCAAGGCUUUGACGGGUAGCCGGCCUGAGAGGGUGACCGGCCACAUUGGGACUGAGAUACGGCCCAGACUCCUACGGGAGGCAGCAGUGGGGAAUAUUGCACAAUGGGCGGAAGCCUGAUGUAGCAACGCCGCGUGCGGGAUGACGGCCUUCGGGUUGUAAACCGCUUUCGCCUGUGACGAAGCGUGAGUGACGGUAAUGGGUAAAGAAGCACCGGCUAACUACGUG